rfam:Ornithorhynchus anatinus chromosome X1, whole genome shotgun sequence.
CGGUGUGAGCAGGUCAGGUGUGGUGCAGUGUGAUAGUGGAAUAUGCAUCAUGCGUGACCUCCCUACACAGC